rnacentral:rRNA from 1 species
UCCUGGCUACAGAACGAACGCUGGCGGCAGGCCUAACACAUGCAAGUCGAGCGGGGGAGCAAUCCCUAGCGGCGGACGGGUUAGUAACGCGUGGGAACAUACCCUUUGGUACGGAAUAGCCUCGGGAAACUGAGAGUAAUACCGUAUGUGCCCUUCGGGGGAAAGAUUUAUCGCCAAAGGAUUGGCCCGCGUUGGAUUAGGUAGUUGGUGGGGUAAUGGCCUACCAAGCCGACGAUCCUUAGCUGGUCUGAGAGGAUGAUCAGCCACACUGGGACUGAGACACGGCCCAGACUCCUACGGGAGGCAGCAGUGGGGAAUAUUGGACAAUGGGCGAAAGCCUGAUCCAGCAAUGCCGCGUGAGUGAUGAAGGCCUUCGGGUCGUAAAGCUCUUUUACCAGGGAUGAUAAUGACAGUACCUGGAGAAUAAGCUCCGGCUAACUCCGUG